UCGGAACGUGCCUAGUAGUGGGGGAUAACUACUCGAAAGAGUGGCUAAUACCGCAUGAGAUCUACGGAUGAAAGCAGGGGAUCGCAAGACCUUGUGCUACUAGAGCGGCCGAUGGCAGAUUAGGUAGUUGGUGGGAUAAAAGCUUACCAAGCCAACGAUCUGUAGCUGGUCUGAGAGGACGAUCAGCCACACUGGGACUGAGACACGGCCCAGACUCCUACGGGAGGCAGCAGUGGGGAAUUUUGGACAAUGGGCGAAAGCCUGAUCCAGCAAUGCCGCGUGCAGGAUGAAGGCCUUCGGGUUGUAAACUGCUUUUGUACGGAACGAAAAGCUUCGGGUUAAUACCCUGGAGUCAUGACGGUACCGUAAGAAUAAGCACCGGCUAACUACGUGCCAGCAGCCGCGGUAAUACGUAGGGUGCAAGCGUUAAUCGGAAUUACUGGGCGUAAAGCGUGCGCAGGCGGUUUUGUAAGACAGAGGUGAAAUCCCCGGGCUCAACCUGGGAACUGCCUUUGUGACUGCAAGGCUAGAGUACGGCAGAGGGGGAUGGAAUUCCGCGUGUAGCAGUGAAAUGCGUAGAUAUG
rnacentral:rRNA from 1 species